rnacentral:rRNA from 1 species
GACGAACGCUGGCGGCGUGCCUAAUACAUGCAAGUCGAACGAAGCUGUUUUAACUGGUGCAUGCACCGACUUAAACAACUGAGUGGCGAACGGGUGAGUAACACGUGGGUAACCUGCCCCAAAGCGGGGGAUAACAUUUGGAAACAGAUGCUAAUACCGCAUAACCACAGAAACCACAUGGUUUCUGUGUCAAAGAUGGUUUCGGCUAUCCAUUUGGGAUGGACCCGCGGCGUAUUAGUUAGUUGGUAAGGUAAUGGCUUACCAAGGCAAUGAUACGUAGCCGAACUGAGAGGUUGAUCGGCCACAUUGGGACUGAGACACGGCCCAAACUCCUACGGGAGGCAGCAGUAGGGAAUCUUCCACAAUGGACGAAAGUCUGAUGGUGCAACGCCGCGUGAGUGAAGAAGGUUUUCGGAUCGUAAAACUCUGUUGUCAGAGAAGAACGUGUGCGAGAGUAACUGCUCGUGCAGUGACGGUAUCUGGCCAGAAAGCCACGGCUAACUACGUGCCAGCAGCCGCCGUAA